GACAGAGGUUGCAAACGUUGUUCGGAAUCACUGGGCAUAAAGCGCACGUAGGCGGUCUGUUAAGUCAGGUGUGAAAGCCCCCGGCUCAACCGGGGAAUUGCAUUUGAUACUGGCAGGCUCGAGAACGGUAGGGGUGAGUGGAACUCCAGGUGGAGCGGUGAAAUGCGUAGAUAUCUGGAGGAACACCGGUGGCGAAAGCGGCUCACUGGACCGUCACUGACGCUGAGGCACGAAAGCGUGGGGAGCAAACAGG
rnacentral:rRNA from 1 species